UACGAAGGGGGCUAGCGUUGCUCGGAAUGACUGGGCGUAAAGGGCGCGUAGGCGGCUUGCACCGUCAGGCGUGAAAUUCCUGGGCUCAACCUGGGGACUGCGCUUGAGACGUGUGGGCUUGAGUGGGGAAGAGGGUCGUGGAAUUCCCAGUGUAGAGGUGAAAUUCGUAGAUAUUGGGAAGAACACCGGUGGCGAAGGCGGUGACCUGGUCCGUGACUGACGCUGUGGCGCGAAAGCUAGGGGAGCAAACGGG
rnacentral:rRNA from 1 species